UUUCUUAUCUGUGCGCACGGUUUUGCAAUCUGUGCGUACAAAUUGUAAACGUGCCCACGUAAACGCGCAAAAAUGUUUAACAUUCCAGAGAAGAAGACGGCACGGGUAGCCUACUUUCAGCUGCGUCUCCAUCCGACAAAAUGGACCAGAGUUUCCACAAGUUCCUUCGAGAACAGCGGAGGUUAAAUGAGACAGUUGUCACCACCUUUAUCAACGAGAAGAUUGACUGCUAUGCUGUCCAUGGGAUGACAGAUGACCAGUUGAUGAAAUAUGUCCCCAAGAUUGGAGACCGGAUAGCUAUUCGGCAGUACUGCAGAACAGAAGUGGCUGCACUGGAAGGAACCACCACAACAAUUUCUAA